rnacentral:rRNA from 1 species
GACGAACGCUGGCGGCGUGCUUAACACAUGCAAGUCGAACGGGUCUGCCCUGUUUUUUGCGGGGUGGGUCAGUGGCGAACGGGUGAGUAACACGUGAGUAACCUGCCCCUCACUUCUGGAUAACCGCUUGAAAGGGUGGCUAAUACGGGGUGUUCUGGCUGUGCCGCAUGGUGUGGCUGGGAAAGAUUCACUUUUGUGGUGUUUUGGUGGGGGAUGGGCUCGCGGCCUAUCAGCUUGUUGGUGGGGUGACGGCCUGCCAAGGCUUUGACGGGUAGCCGGCCUGAGAGGGUGGGCGGUCACACUGGGACUGAGAUACGGCCCAGACUCCUGCGGGAGGCAGCAGUGGGGGGUAUUGCACAAUGGGCGGAAGCCUGAUGCAGCGACGUCGCGUGAGGGAUGGAGGCCUUCGGGUUGUGAACCUCUUUCGCCGGUGAAGAAGGUCCUGCUCUUUGUGGUGGGGUUGACGGUAGCCGGGUUAUGAAGCGCCGGCUAACUACGUG